rnacentral:rRNA from 1 species
CACGUAUUUAGCCGGGGCUUCUUGGUCAGGUACCGUCAAUGUCUUCCCUGCUGACAGAGCUUUACAUACCGAAGUACUCCAUCGCUCACGCGGCGUCGCUGCAUCAGGGUUGCCCCCAUUGUGCAAUAUCCCCACUGCUGCCUCCCGUAGGAGUCUGGGCCGUGUCUCAGUCCCAAUGUGGCCGCCCACCCUCUCAGGCCGGCUACUGAUCGUCGCCUUGGUGGGCCGUUACCCGCCAACAAGCUAAUCAGACGCGGACCCAUCCCGCACCGCCUGGGCUUUCCGCACAGCCCCAUGCGGGGCCGUGCGCAUAUGCGGUAUUAGCAGCCGUUUCCGGCUGUUGUCCCCCAGUGCGGGGUAGGUUGUCCACGCGUUACUCACCCGUCCGCCACUCAGUCACAGGGGCUUCGUCUCCGAAAAAGUCCGCCCCAGUGCUUCGUUCGACUUGCAUGUGUUAGGCACGCCGCCAGCGUUCAUCCUGAGCCAGAUCAAACUCUACG